rnacentral:rRNA from 1 species
UACGUAGGGGGCUAGCGUCGUCCGGAAUCAUUGGGCGUAAAGAGCGUGUAGGCGGCCCAGUAAGUCCGCUCUGAAAGUCCGGGGCUCAACCCCGGGAGGCGGGUGGAUACUGCUGGGCUCGAGUCCGGAAGAGGCGAGUGGAAUUCCUGGUGUAGCGGUGAAAUGCGCAGAUAUCAGGAGGAACACCUAUGGCGAAGGCAGCUCGCUGGGACGGUACUGACGCUGAGACGCGAAAGCGUGGGGAGCAAACAGG